AGAUUAAGUUAUUAAGGGCGCACGGUGGAUGCCUUGGCACUAGAAGCCGAUGAAGGACGUUACUAACGACGAUAUGCUUUGGGGAGCUGUAAGUAAGCUUUGAUCCAGAGAUUUCCGAAUGGGGAAACCCAGCAUGAGUUAUGUCAUGUUAUCGAUAUGUGAAUACAUAGCAUAUCAGAAGGCACACCCGGAGAACUGAAACAUCUUAGUACCCGGAGGAAGAGAAAGAAAAUUCGAUUCCCUUAGUAGCGGCGAGCGAAACGGGAAGAGCCCAAACCAACAAGCUUGCUUGUUGGGGUUGUAGGACACUCUAUACGGAGUUACAAAGGACGACAUUAGACGAAUCAUCUGGAAAGAUGAAUCAAAGAAGGUAAUAAUCCUGUAGUCGAAAAUGUUGUCUCUCUUGAG
rnacentral:rRNA from 1 species